CUGAAGGUAGAAACUGGCAACCCUCUAUAACACUCACAAUGAUGCAACUAUGGGUUCUUCUGGAUUGGAGGCACUGCAGUACCUGGAGUACAUCUCUUGAAGAGAUAGCUGUGCUGAAAUAGAAAACCAAACUAUAAAUGGAGGCAUUCCAAGAAGUAAAAAUUGUGCUAAAUACAAAGUUGGAAUAUAGAAUUACCACAACAUGGGAGAGUUUAUCAGCACUGCACAGGCCUGUGACUCUCAAGUUUAAACCUGGGGUUCAAGACUUAUUGAUGGAAGUGAAUACUCCUUUCUGUGAUGUUCCCCAGCACUGCCAGGGGAAGCAGGACAGCCUUUUGAUGAACUCUUGGAGUAGGAAGGUAGGAAACAUACCUCUGUUGAAUAACUUGACCAAGAUCUCACAGCUGUGAUGCGUGGAGGGAAGGGAGCAUCCAGUUGCACUUCAUCCUAGCUGUGUUCCCAGAACAUGCAGUUCCUUGGAAUACUGCUUGGAGUCUACCAUGUAAGAAAGCCUGUCUAACUUGAUGGAAGAUGAGAGCCCAUGUGAAGGAGAAGGACGGCAUCCCUGUUGAUAGCCAGUACCAACUACCAGACAUCUGAGUGAGGACGUCUUGGAUCUUCCAUGCCUGCUGAUCCUGCUGCUAAAUACAGAUGAAUGAAUGAACCUAGACAAAACCAGCAGAAAAUCUGCCUAGACAGCACAUAGAUUUCUAAGAAAUAACAAAUCAUUAUUAAGUCAUAGGGCAAUAGUUAACUUAAACAGAUGGGUCACAUUGAGUUUGUUCAUUCUUGUUUGUUUGUCCAUCCAUCCAUCCAUCGAUCCAUCCAUCGAUCCAUCCAUCCAUCCAUCUAUCUAUCCAUCCAUUCAUCCUGCAUUUCUUGAAUGUCUACAAUGUAUAAGAUUCUGGAGACACAAAGCAUCCAGUAGACAUAUUACCUCUUUUCAUCUCUGUUUAUGUUGCACUUUUCAAGACAAUUAGAACUCUGUAGGUAGUGAGUAAGAAGGAAUACAUCAGAAAAUUUUUGUUGUAAAGGACUGAGACUAGGCCUUGAUGGUGAGAGGAUGGAGAAGUAACUAUUUCCAAGUUGGAGUUUUCUAUUCCCCAGGGACUUAAGUUCCUCUUUGGAGAAGAUUGAUUCUUUGUUCAGGAGAAAGAAAGCCAAAAAUCCUCCUUAACCUACCCAAAUCCAAAAAACCAAAACCCCAGAACACUACAAAAGUCUUUUAGUUGUAGGAAGUAAAUAAUUAUCCAUCAAUUGUUUUGGAAAAAGACUACGAAAUAACUUGAAUACAGAUAUUCUAAACUAAACAGAUAAGUGUUCUCUUUAAGGUUAUAUAAACUGAGUAUAUAUUUUAUCAGUAUUAAGUUUCUGAAGGUCCUUUGGCUUUUGAGGGGUAGAGGGAUGAAGAUAGAAUUGUUUCUUCCUUUAUAUAUAAUUUAGAAAGCUCCCUGAAUAGGUAUCAUUGCUUGGUCCUGGAAAGCCAUGUGCAUGCUCUUCUUUACACAACUGCUGAUAGGAGAUUAAGUAGAAAUUCUGAAGACUGCAGGAAGAUCCUACAUGCCUG
rnacentral:lncRNA from 1 species